AGCGAACGCUGGCGGCAGGCUUAACACAUGCAAGUCGAACGGGCGUAGCAAUACGUCAGUGGCAGACGGGUGAGUAACGCGUGGGAACGUACCUUUUGGUUCGGAACAACCCAGGGAAACUUGGGCUAAUACCGGAUAAGCCCUUACGGGGAAAGAUUUAUCGCCGAAAGAUCGGCCCGCGUCUGAUUAGCUAGUUGGUGAGGUAACGGCUCACCAAGGCGACGAUCAGUAGCUGGUCUGAGAGGAUGAUCAGCCACAUUGGGACUGAGACACGGCCAAACUCCUACGGGAGGCAGCAGUGGGGAAUAUUGGACAAUGGGCGCAAGCCUGAUCCAGCCAUGCCGCGUGAGUGAUGAAGGCCCUAGGGUUGUAAAGCUCUUUUGUGCGGGAAGAUAAUGACGGUACCGCAAGAAUAAGCCCCCGGCUAACUUCGUGCCAGCCGCCGCCGUAAU
rnacentral:rRNA from 1 species